AGCGAGAUCCCCCAAGCCGAACGUACGCCGUGGCGGCCUGGACUCCGGGUGGAGUUACGAGCUAAGGGGUCACCGCCCACAACUCGGCCGGCGCCACGCCUUCCCACUACACCGUCACGACACCUGGCCGAGGAGCAACAGCGGGUAUGGGCGUGAGUCCCGGUGGGGGCGUGUGGGGAGGCGCCGCCCCUGCCUCCCCCGUGUGGCGUGACCCCAGGGUGUUGGUGCCAGCCGCUGUCUCUGCCCUGGCACUCCUCCUCACCAUCACUACCGUCUGCGUCUGCCUCAGGAAAAGACCGCCGAGUAGUCCCCGUCAGAAGGAGGUUCCCGAGGGCGUGACGUCUUCCGGCGAGGAGAAGACGGCUCUGCAGGCGCGGGAGGACGUGUACACCACCGUCAGGAGACCCCCGCCCGCGCCCCCGCAGUCCACGCCCGAGCUCAGGGAUCACAAUGGUGAAUACAGCGAAGAGGACACCUACCCCUACGCCACCGCCACCUUCCAGCUGGGUGGAGGGAGUCCCCCGCCGCCCGCGCCGCCCUCGCCGCCCUCACACUCACGCCCUCACUCCCGUAGUCAGAAAGGAUUCACCUCUUUGGUCUACCAGGCGCCUUCUCUGCAUGACGUGGAUUCGCCCAACCUGAGCGAGCGCGAGUCCCGGCCUCCGAGAGGGUUCCCUUACGAAGGCUCUGAGACGGAGGAGUACGGCAGUGUUCUGGACGCCGCGGCAGAGUCUCGAGUGCCGCCCCCGCAUCACCGCCGUCAGCGUCACCUUCGGACCAGUAGGGUCCCCCGCACUGUCCGGUUCCCCUAAGCUGCGGCGCCCCCUCCCCCAGACACCUCCACCAGCACACUGAGGCCAGCACGACACCCGAGGAGUCCGGCUACGGCCCGACGGUACAGCGAGGUGGCGCCUCCGGGAGGACCAUACUAGCGACGCCGAGUGUGACCUGCGCUGGUGAGGAUGACCCUCGUUUGACCCUCCCGAGGACGCGCACCCGCUCGAGUCCUUCGGCCGAGGACGACUCUGAGCAGGGGUCUUCUGCAGUUUCUUCCGGCGCCUCCUUCUGCGGGAUGAGGAGCUCCCUGGGCGGUUGUCGAGGGUCGUCUUGCUUACAUGUUGGCCUUUUGGUUUAUACGG